UAAUACGUAGGGGGCGAGCGUUAUCCGGAAUGACUGGGCGUAAAGGGCGUGUAGGCGGCCGAUUAAGUAUGGAGUGAAAGUCCUGUUUUCAAGAUGGGAAUUGCUUUGUAGACUGGUUGGCUUGAGUACAGAAGAGGUAAGCGGAAUUCCCGGUGUAGCGGUGAAAUGCGUAGAGAUCGGGAGGAACACCAGUGGCGAAGGCGGCUUACUGGGCUGUAACUGACGCUGAGGCGCGAAAGCGUGGGGAGCGAACAGGAUUAGAUACCCUGGUAGUCCACGCGGUAAACGAUGAAUGCUAGGUGUAGCGGGUAUCGACCCCUGCUGUGCCGGAGUAAACACAAUAAGCAUUCCGCCUGGGGAGUACGGCCGCAAGGUUGAAACUCAAAGGAAUUGACGGGGGCCCGCACAAGCAGCGGAGCAUGUGGUUUAAUUCGACGCAACGCGAAGAACCUUACCAGGUCUUGACAUCCAGUAAAACUUGCAGAGAUGCAUCGUGAGCUUGCUCAUACUGAGACAGGUGGUGCAUGGUUGUCGUCAGCUC
rnacentral:rRNA from 1 species